CCUACGGGUGGCAGCAGUGAGGAAUAUUGGUCAAUGGGCGCGAGCCUGAACCAGCCAAGUCGCGUGAGGGAAGACGGUCCUAUGGAUUGUAAACCUCUUUUAUCGAGAACGAAAAGUCUGUUGAUAAUACCGAUAGAUGAUGACGGUACUCUAAGAAUAAGCACCGGCUAACUACGUGCCAGCAGCAGCGGUAAUACGUAGGGUGCGAGCGUUAAUCGGAAUUACUGGGCGUAAAGGGGUUGCAGGCGGGUUUGCAAGAUGGAUGUGAAAGCCCCGGGCUUAACCUGGGAAAGCCAUACAUGACUGCAAGAAUAGAGUGCGUUAGAGGGGGGUGGAAUUCCAAGUGUAGCAGUGAAAUGCGUAGAUAUUUGGAAGAACACCGAUGGCGAAGGCAGCCUCCUGGGACGCAACUGACGCUCAUACACGAAAGCGUGGGGAGCAAACAGGAUUAGAUACCCGUGUAGUC
rnacentral:rRNA from 1 species